GACGAACGACGGGUCGGGCGGGUCGUACGACACAUGCAAGUCGAGCGAGUGGAUCUCCUUCGGGAGUGAAGCUAGCGGCGGACGGGUGAGUAACACGUGGGCAACCUGCCUCAUAGAGGGGAAUAGCCUUUCGAAAGGAAGAUUAAUACCGCAUAAGAUUGUAGCUUCGCAUGAAGUAGCAAUUAAAGGAGCAAUCCGCUAUGAGAUGGGCCCGCGGCGCAUUAGCUAGUUGGUGAGGUAACGGCUCACCAAGGCGACGAUGCGUAGCCGACCUGAGAGGGUGAUCGGCCACAUUGGGACUGAGACACGGCCCAGACUCCUACGGGAGGCAGCAGUGGGGAAUAUUGCACAAUGGGGGAAACCCUGAUGCAGCAACGCCGCGUGAGUGAUGACGGCCUUCGGGUUGUAAAGCUCUGUCUUCAGGGACGAUAAUGACGGUACCUGAGGAGGAAGCCACGGCUAACUACGUG
rnacentral:rRNA from 1 species